rnacentral:rRNA from 1 species
UACGUAGGGGGCAAGCGUUAUCCGGAAUCAUUGGGCGUAAAGCGCGUGUAGGCGGUUCCGUAAGUCCGCUCUGAAAGCCCAGGGCUCAACCCUGGGAGGCGGGUGGAUACUACGGAACUGGAGUACGGAAGAGGAGAUUGGAAUUCCUGGUGUAGCGGUGAAAUGCGCAGAUAUCAGGAGGAACACCAACAGCGAAAGGCAGAUCUCUGGGACGUUACUGACGCUGAGACGCGAAAGCGUGGGGAGCAAACAGG